AGAGAGAAAGAUGAAGACUUCAGGGUCCAGUGCGCUCCAUCUACACAAAGGUUGCUGGAAGAGAACAGCUUUGCUUCUGCACACUGGCCCUGCUUGCAGCUGGAGGGUCAGCUUGCCAAUGAGGUGGGGAGGCAGCAGCCGAGUCAGGUUUGGAGACUCACAUCAGAGAUCCGAUGGCUCCUUCUGGGUGGGUGUCCAACAAGGGUGCCCACGAUAGGAUCCAUGAGACAAGAGGAUCAUACAGAGAAAGGAGGCAAAGAGUCGCUCGGCCCAAACGUGGGCUUCUAUGCCAGUGGUCCCGCGAGAACUCCCACAAACCGGUGAUGCAAGAACCUCAUCCAGUGCAGGCUCCACCCCACCCAGUCACGUCACUCUGGGGACCACACCUUUACUAUGGGGGUAUUGGAAGACCACCCAGCCCCCACUUUCCCUGGUGCUGGAAGUCUGCAAGCCACAUUGUUGUUAACACUUCCCCAUAGUGGAGAUCUGCUGGGCACUGGUGGGGUUUGCAACCCUGGGCUUCAUGGACUGAAUAUUCAGAAAGGUUUUGCAUUGCUGUUUCUACACACACACACACACACACACACACGCAUGCACUGUAUCUCUUUCUCUCUAAAAUUCCUGUGCUUUGAGUAUUGGCGCUCUCAUAUCCAUUUUCUAGUUUUCUUACUGAUUUCCGGGAUGUACUCUGUGCAUGCUCUGGAGUGCAAGUUCCCCAGCUUUACCUCAUUCCCGCCCGCAGAGUUGUUCCUGCUAUUAUGUUUUUCCCCAGGAGCGCUCUGUUCCCUGCGUUCCUCUGUGAUGGCGUCAUGUUCUUUGCUCGCGGAUGCACGCUCUUCUGUCAUCUCCUUGGAUUGGGAGGGUUUUGUUUUCCUGGUGAUUCCACUGUAUGAUUUAGAGCAAUCAUAAAUACGUCACACUGCUUGCA